UAACAAGAAACAACUUUAAACACCAAGUUUGACGGGACAGUUCUUCUCCUAGACCUCUCCAGACGUUGGCUAAAGACAGUUUUGACCAGUGAUGUCAUCGGCAAGACGCCCAAAGAAGCCCAUGGCAUGAUAACUCUUGUUUACCAUGAAUCAUUCCUGCCGUUUACCAAGAAACCGUGAACGUGCACCGCGUUGACCUUUCCAGCCUUGAAGGAGCACAUCAAAGACACAUCGCUGUGCAGUCACCUGGUGUCUUGCCAGUCUUCGAGUUGGAGAUUCUGCUCACCGGAUCCUGUCAUUGGAACGGCAACAAAAUACUGGAGCAAAUCCUGACUCAUCAACAGCAGAGAACACUCUACCCU